rnacentral:tRNA from 2 species
GCGGGUGUAGUUCAAUGGUAGAACAUCAGCUUCCCAAGCUGAGGACGGGGGUUCGAUUCCCCUCACCCGCU